rfam:Salmo salar isolate Sally breed double haploid chromosome ssa20, whole genome shotgun sequence.
GUCAGGAUGGCCGAGUGGUCUAAGGCGCCAGACUCAAGGUGAGAAGACUUCCUGGUUGUCGGGGUGUUCUGGUCUCCAAUUGGAGGCGAGGGUUCAAAUCCCUCUUCAGACA